UACGAAGGGGGCUAGCGUUGCUCGGAAUGACUGGGCGUAAAGGGCGCGUAGGCGGCUUGUAUAGUCGGAUGUGAAAUUCCUGGGCUUAACCUGGGGGCUGCAUACGAGACGUAUGGGCUUGAGUGCGGAAGAGGGUCGUGGAACUCCCAGUGUAGAGGUGAAAUUCGUAGAUAUUGGGAAGAACACCGGUGGCGAAGGCGGAUCUCUGGGCCUGUCCUGACGCUGAGGCGCGAAAGCUAGGGGAGCGAACAGG
rnacentral:rRNA from 1 species